CCACACGACCGUACCGCAAACCGACACUGGUGCGCGAGAUGAGUAUUCUAAGGCGCUUGAGAGAACUCAGGAGAAGGAACUCGGCAAAUUGACACCGUAACUUCGGAAGAAGGUGUGCCUUUAGUAGGUGAACCUGUACAAGGGGAGCCCAAUGAGGUUGCAAAAAAUCGGUGGCUGCGACUGUUUAAUAAAAACACAGCACUCUGCAAACACGAAAGUGGACGUAUAGGGUGUGACGCCUGCCCGGUGCUGGAAGAUUAAAUGAUGGGGUGCAAGCUCUUGAUUGAAGUCCCAGUAAACGGCGGCCGUAACGAUAACGGUCCUAAGGUAGCGAAAUUCCUUGUCGGGUAAGUUCCGACCUGCACGAAUGGCGUAACGAUGGCCACACUGUCUCCUCCUGAGACUCAGCGAAGUUGAAAUGUUUGUGAUGAUGCAAUCUCCCCGCGGAAAGACGGAAAGACCCCAUGAACCUUUACUGUAGCUUUGUAUUGGACUUUGAACAGAUCUGUGUAGGAUAGGUGGGAGGCUUUGAAGUGUGGUCGCUAGAUCGCAUGGAGCCAACGUUGAAAUACCACCCUGGUGUGUUUGAGGUUCUAACCUAGGCCCGUAAUCCGGGUCGGGGACAGUGCAUGGUAGGCAGUUUGACUGGGGCGGUCUCCUCCCAAAGCGUAACGGAGGAGUUCGAAGGUACGCUAGGUACGGUCGGACAUCGUGCUAAUAGUGCAAUGGCAUAAGCGUGCUUAACUGCGAGACUGACAAGUCGAGCAGAUGCGAAAGCAGGACAUAGUGAUCCGGUGGUUCUGUAUGGAAGGGCCAUCGCUCAACGGAUAAAAGGUACUCUGGGGAUAACAGGCUGAUACCGCCCAAGAGUUCAUAUCGACGGCGGUGUUUGGCACCUCGAUGUCGGCUCAUCUCAUCCUGGGGCUGUAGCCGGUCCCAAGGGUAUGGCUGUUCGCCAUUUAAAGAGGUACGUGAGCUGGGUUUAAAACGUCGUGAGACAGUUUGGUCCCUAUCUUCCGUGGGCGCUGCAGAUUUGAGGAAGCCUGCUCCUAGUACGAGAGGACCGGAGUGGACACACCUCUGGUGUAUCGGUUGUCACGCCAGUGGCAUUGCCGAGUAGCUAUGUGUGGAAGAGAUAACCGCUGAAAGCAUCUAAGCGGGAAACUCGUUUCAAGAUGAGAUCUGCCGGGGCCUUGAGCCCCCUAAAGAGUCGUUCAAGACCAGGACGUUGAUAGGUCGGGUGUGGAAGCGCAGUAAUGCGUUAAGCUAACCGAUACUAAUUGCUCGUGCGGCUUGACCCG
rnacentral:rRNA from 1 species